rnacentral:rRNA from 1 species
AUUGAACGCUGGCGGCAGGCCUAACACAUGCAAGUCAAGCGGAUGAGAGGAGCUUGCUCCUCGAUUCAGCGGCGGACGGGUGAGUAAUGCCUAGGAAUCUGCCUAGUAGUGGGGGACAACGUUUCGAAAGGAACGCUAAUACCGCAUACGUCCUACGGGAGAAAGUGGGGGAUCUUCGGACCUCACGCUAUUAGAUGAGCCUAGGUCGGAUUAGCUAGUUGGUAGGGUAACGGCCUACCAAGGCGACGAUCCGUAGCUGGUCUGAGAGGAUGAUCAGUCACACUGGAACUGAGACACGGUCCAGACUCCGACGGGAGGCAGCAGUGGGGAAUAUUGGACAAUGGGCGAAAGCCUGAUCCAGCCAUGCCGCGUGUGUGAAGAAGGCCCUCGGGUCGUAAAGCACUUUAAGUUGGGAGGAAGGGCUUACAGCGAAUACCUGUGAGUUUUGACGUUACCGACAGAAUAAGCACCGGCUAACUUCGUGCCAGCCGCCGCCGUAA